rnacentral:rRNA from 1 species
GCCCAGACUCCUACGGGAGGCAGCAGUGGGGAAUAUUGCACAAUGGGGGAAGCCCUGAUGCAGCGACGCCGCGUGAGUGAAGAAGUCAUUCGUUAUGUAAAGCUCUAUCAGCAGGGAAGAAAAUGACGGUACCUGAGUAAGAAGCCCCGGCUAACUACGUGCCAGCAGCCGCGGUAAUACGUAGGGGGCAAGCGUUAUCCGGAUUUACUGGGUGUAAAGGGAGCGUAGACGGCAGUGCAAGUCUGGAGUGAAAGGCGGGGGCUCAACCCCCGGACUGCUCUGGAAACUGUACGGCUGGAGUGCAGGAGAGGUAAGUGGAAUUCCUAGUGUAGCGGUGAAAUGCGUAGAUAUUAGGAAGAACACCAGUGGCGAAGGCGACUUUCUGGACUGUAACUGACGUUGAGGCACGAAAGUGUGGGGAGCAAACAGGAUUAGAUACCCGGGUAAG